rnacentral:rRNA from 1 species
UGGGGAAUAUUGGACAAUGGGCGCAAGCCUGAUCCAGCAAUGCCGCGUGUGUGAAGAAGGCCUUCGGGUUGUAAAGCACUUUUAUCAGGAGCGAAAUACUACGGGUUAAUAACCUGUGGGGCUGACGGUACCUGAGGAAUAAGCACCGGCUAACUUCGUGCCAGCAGCCGCGGUAAUACGAAGGGUGCAAGCGUUAAUCGGAAUUACUGGGCGUAAAGCGUGCGUAGGCGGUUUGUUAAGUCUGCUGUGAAAUCCCCGGGCUCAACCUGGGAAUGGCAGUGGAUACUGGCAAGCUAGAGUGUGUCAGAGGGUGGUGGAAUUCCCGGUGUAGCGGUGAAAUGCGUAGAGAUCGGGAGGAACAUCAGUGGCGAAGGCGGCCACCUGGGACAACACUGACGCUGAGGCACGAAAGCGUGGGGAGCAAACA